ensembl:lncRNA novel transcript
GGCAGUUUCCAUGGCAACGCCUCCAUGCCUGCCGUAGCAGCUACGUGCUGCCUGGCAUGUGCACUCUGCCAGGUCCCUGGAGGGCACUGCUGUCUCUCACUUGCUCAGGGUUCAGGAGUUGUUAAUCCCGGAUUCAGAUAAUAAUAUCCAAAGGCAAUCAGGGGACAUUGAACCAGCUGGAGCUGAAGGCUCCUCUCUGUGGGCCUUGGAAGGAGGGGCCUCUGCAUUCCUCCGCCUGCCAUAGGCUGGGCCUGCAGCAAGUGCUCAACUACAGUGGGAAGAAUGGCUGAGUGAAGGAGAGACCCUCCCAGACUACAGGAGUGGAUGCAAACACAGAUGGGAAGGUAAGCUUCAACAGGACACUGCCAGGAAGAAGCAUGAAGAAAGAGAUAAACCCAGAGGCGGAAUGAACCCUUUGGCAGUGGAGAUAUCUGACCAUGGAGAUGCUUCUGAAUGUCACCCACCAAGAAGCUGUGAGCUGGAUGCUCCACAGAUAUGAUAUACAGAGCCUUCCCUGCUGGCCUUUUUCCUUCCAUCUGGAGAUCAGCCCGGGUCCAUAGGUAAAUCACAUCUUCCUACCUAAUAAUGACCAACUGCUAAAACCCAGAGCCUAACAUGAAGACAGCCAGCAAAGAAGAAAUGUGGUUUGCAGCGUUCCAGCCCCAGCAUCACAGAGCAGAGUGUAAAAAGGUAUUCCUGAUGACGGUGAACUGUAAGGAGGGGAGCCUGCUUGGCUUGUGAACUUUUACUUAAUACCGCUCUUCAAAUACAGUGCUUCUGCUCUGCCCUCUGCCAUACUGAGUCCCCAAUUCCCUGGCCUCUUCAGUCAGCCUCUGCAGAGAAGACAUUCGCCCCAGUGCCCUGGCAGAGCAGACAAUCACCUGGCUGCGUAGAGUGAGGAAGGAGCUGUAGAAGCCUAAGCGUCUCAUGCCAUUCUCGUUUGGAGUCACAUCCUGAACCGCUUCCCAGUUCUACCACCUAUGGCCCUGAAGUAUCACGUAGGGAACUCAACUUCUCCCUCUGAGCUUGGAAGACCUUUGAAACACAUAGGAUGUCCAGGGCCCUCUUGGCCCUGGGAUUCUAUGAUCCAUGAACCUUCAGAAGCUAGAGAGCUCUGCCUAGGUAGUAACAUAGACAGGAAGAUACAGGAGGUGAAGAAGGGCAAGGUGACAGUGGGAUAGAGUGGCAGGAGACUUCAAAGAAAAGGUGGGAUGAGAGCAGGACAAGAGCCAGUUGGAGGAAUAGGAGAGGGAACGCCUCCUCAGGUGUCCAAUACUGGGGCAGGAUCGUCACAGCAUGCUGGGGGCUGGUAGGCAAAGGGUUCUAGAAUAAUAAAGUGGAAGAGUAAACUUCAAUUAGAA